AUUUAUGAUAGUUUAAAUAGAAUAGUAAUUUGUGGUAUUACCGGUGAAUAAAAUUCUCUAAAUC
rnacentral:tRNA from 1 species